rnacentral:lncRNA from 1 species
CCCUACAUGGACCAAACCUCCAAGAACGUCCAGGCAAAGCCCCAGUUUUAGAGCGUUUAUCGGGCAAGUCGGCAUCGAGGUUGGAGGCGGUUUAACACCUGGUACACCACCUCCCCCGGAUGGAGGAGGGCCUGUAUAAGGGGGAUAGGUUGGUGUGGUAGGCGGCGGGAUUAUGACGGGAGGGUUGGUUAUGGGGGGCAUUAUGAUCGGAGGCAUAAUGAUAGGCGGAUUAACAACAGGAGGAUUCACGAUAGGGGGAUUAACUAUUAUUGGUGGAGGCAUGACAAUUGGGGGCACAACAACCGGUGGCUUGUAUGAAGGCGGCUUAUGUGUAGGUGGCUUAUGUGAUGGAGGAUUAACUGUAGGUGGCUUAUGCAUAGGGGGCUUAUGUGUAGGUGGCUUAUGUGAAGGUGGUUUAUAUGACGGCGGAUUAUGUGUAGGUGGCUUAUGAGAAGGCGGCUUGUGAGAAGGCGGCGAGCCUUUAGGGCUCCCGCCUUUUCCAUGGUGCGGUGGAUUAGGGUGAUGAGAGGGUGGGUGCGGUGGCUCACAGUAGCCACAAGCGUAGAUUGGAGGUAACGCCAUUAACAUG